UUUCCUACGGGAGGCAGCAGUAAGGAAUAUUGGUCAAUGGGCGAAAGCCUGAACCAGCCACGCCGCGUGAAGGAAGACGGCCCUACGGGUUGUAAACUUCUUUUCUACGGGAAUAAACAUCAGGACGUGUCCUGAGCUGAAGGUACCGUAGGAAUAAGGAUCGGCUAACUCCGUGCCAGCAGCCGCGGUAAUACGGAGGAUCCAAGCGUUAUCCGGAUUUAUUGGGUUUAAAGGGUGCGUAGGUGGAAGAGUAAGUCAGAGGUGAAAGCUAGCAGCUUAACUGUUAAAUUGCCUUUGAUACUGCUUUUCUUGAGUAUAGUUGGCGUUGGCGGAAUGUGACAUGUAGCGGUGAAAUGCGUAGAUAUGUCACAGAACACCGAUCGCGAAGGCAGCUAACGAAGCUAUCACUGACACUGAUGCACGAAAGCGUGGGGAGCAAACAGGAUUAGAUACCCUGGUAGUC
rnacentral:rRNA from 1 species